AUGUGUGUGAAGGAUCAGCGAUGAAGGUUGAUGAUGACUGUGAUGAUCCACAUCUAUUAAUUGCGUCUCAAUUUAAUACUUAUUUGGAAGAAGAAUGCUCUAGUCUGUGUAAAUCUGAGGUUGAUAGGUACUUGGCAGAUAGGUGUGAAGCUUCCAAUGAAGAAAAGUUUGAUAUAUUGGGAUGGUGGAAGGUCAAUUCUUCCAAGUAUAGAGUGUUGUCUCAAGUUGCAUGUGAUGUCUUGGCAAUACCCGUCUCUACAGUAGCUUCUGAAUCAGCCUUUAGUACAGGAGGACGCAUUUUAGACCCAUUUCGUAGUUCAUUAUCUCCAAUGAUGGUGGAGGCUCUGAUAUGUACAUAGAAUUGGCUGCAAAGCAUAGUUCCUAUUUCUCUUCGGAAGGCAAUGGAUGAUGUGGAGGAACUUGAACAAUAUGACCCUGCAGCUCUUUCUGAAUUGGCAUCAACCUCAAACCCAAGUCCAAAUAUUAUCACACUCUAGUAUGGCUUGGCUUCGAUCUUUUUGGUUUCAUGGGGAGUUAACUGACUUUCUUGACUUUUGGUUUUAUACAAUUAACAUAGAUCAGUACUCUUCUUUUUGACUUUAUGAACAAAUAUUUUUGCACAUGGAUAGUGAUUGGGAUAACUAUACUUGUGAAUGUUUUGAUGGAUUACUGUCUGUAAUUAUGAUAGACUGAAAAUGGAUGGUGACAAACUAA